AGAGUUUGAUCAUGGCUCAGGAUGAACGCUAGCUACAGGCUUAACACAUGCAAGUCGAGGGGCAGCAUGUUGGUUGCUUGCAACCAAUGAUGGCGACCGGCGCACGGGUGAGUAACGCGUAUCCAACCUACCCUUGUCCAUCGGAUAACCCGUCGAAAGGCGGCCUAACACGAUAUGCGGUUCACAGCAGGCAUCUAAGGUGAACGAAAUGUGAAGGAGAAGGAUGGGGAUGCGUCUGAUUAGCUUGUUGGCGGGUAACGCCACAAGGCGACGAUCGAGUAGGGGUUCUGAGAGGAAGGUCCCCCANAUUGGAACUGAGACACGGUCCAAACGUCCUACGGGAGCA
rnacentral:rRNA from 1 species